rnacentral:misc_RNA from 1 species
UUUCCGUAGGUGAACCUGCGGAAGGAUCAUUACUGAGUGAGGGCCCCUCGGGGUCCAACCUCCCACCCGUGUUUAACGAACCUUGUUGCUUCGGCGGGCCCGCCUCACGGCCGCCGGGGGGCAUCUGCCCCCGGGCCCGCGCCCGCCGAAGCCACCUAUGAACGCUGUCUGAAGUAUGCAGUCUGAGACAAUUAUUAAAUUAAUUAAAACUUUCAACAACGGAUCUCUUGGUUCCG